AACCGCCGUGUACCGAACGGUACGCACGGUGGUGUGAGAGGACGAAAAUUUCUCAUUAGAGAAAUUUUCUCCUACUCGAU
rnacentral:ncRNA from 1 species